UACGUAGGGGGCUAGCGUUGUCCGGAUUUAUUGGGCGUAAAGAGCGUGUAGGCGGCCAGGUAGGUCUGCUGUGAAAACUCGAGGCUCAACCUCGAGACGUCGGCGGAAACCAUCUGGCUAGAGUCCGGAAGAGGAGAGUGGAAUUCCUGGUGUAGCGGUGAAAUGCGCAGAUAUCAGGAAGAACACCCGUGGCGAAGGCGGGUCUCUGGACAGUUCCUGACGCUGAGGCACGAAGGCCAGGGGAGCAAACGGG
rnacentral:rRNA from 1 species